UUCUCCCUGAGACUUUAAGUCUCCUGAAGGAACGUUGAAGACGACGACGUUGAUAGGUCGGGUGUGUAAGCGCAGCGAUGCGUUGAGCUAACCGAUACUAAUGAACCGUGAGGCUUAACCUUACAACACCGAAGGUGUUU
rnacentral:rRNA from 1 species